CAGCUAGUUGGUGGAGUAAUGGUCUACCAAGGCGACGAUCGGUAGCUGGUCUGAGAGAAUGAUCAGCCACACUGGGAUUGAGAACGGCCCAGACUCCUACGGGGGGCAGCAGUGAGGAAUUUUCGUCAAUGGGGGCAACCCUGAACGAGCAACGCCGCGUGCAGGAUGACGCUUUUCGGAGUGUAAACUGCUUUUCUCGGGGACGAGUAAGGACGGUACCCGAGGAAUCAGCCCCGGCUAACUACGUGCCAGCAGCCGCGGUAAUACGUAGGGGGCGAGCGUUGUCCGGAGUUACUGGGCGUAAAGCGCACGCAGGCGGUCUGGUAAGUUUGGAGUGACAAUUCUCGGCUUAACUGAGAAGGGUCUUCGAAGACUGCCAGACUUGAGGGCUUACGAGGGACACGGAAUUCCGGGUGGAGUGGUGAAAUGCGUAGAGAUCCGGAGGAACACCAAAGGCGAAGGCAGUGUCCUGGGAAGUACCUGACGCUCAGGUGCGAAAGCUAGGGGAGCGAACGGGAUUAGAUACCCCGGUAGUCCUAGCCGUAAACGAUGACCACUAGGCGUGGGGGGUAUCGACCCCUUCCGUGCCGUAGCUAACGUGAUAAGUGGUCCGCCUGGGGAGUACGGUCGCAAGAUUAAAA
rnacentral:rRNA from 1 species